UUGUCAUCUUGAUUGCGACAAUUUGAUAUCUCACAUGGAGGUUAAUCAAACUUUAUCAGUUUUCCACAACACUGUCUACUUUGAUGUCCAUGAAUUUCGCUGUCAAGAAAUACGUUUGCUUCCAGCGGGCAUUAAGUUUUCCCAAGUGUGUCAAAUCCAAGAAAAGUCUUUUUUCAAUGUCACCAUUCCACCAAUUGAUAUAAAAAAAGCCUAUUUUGACAGUAAAACUGGAGACAAUUUGUCAACCCUGAUCACAGAAACUGUUCCUGAAUCUGGGAUUCGAAUAUGUGAAAUAUUAAAACUUAAUCGAUCUGCUAAUUCAGUUGAACUAAGAGGAUCGAUUCGUGUUCUUGUUCAAUUUAACGGACAAGGUGAAGAAAUUUACAAAAUAUUGGAAGAAUAUUUUGCCGUCUUUAGCCAAGUGAAUUGGAAACUUGAGAGAGCCCUAUCGCGAAGUGUCCAUAAAUACCUUGAUUUCUUGAACAAUCAUUCUCAACAAUCAUCAACACGAAAAACGAAUGUUUCAAGUACAAAUUACGACAAUUCAGUUUUUAACAUGGAGUCUAAUCAAACUUUAUCAGUUCACAACAACUUUGUCUACUUUGGUGUUCAUAAAUUCACCUGUAAAGAGAUUCAUUUAAUCUCAAAAGGUAUUAAGUUUGUUCAAGUAUCUGCACCAGAAAGACCGAGUUUGGCUAUUACCAUUUCUCCAAUUGAUAUUCAAAAACUCUAUUUUGAUAGGAAAACUGGUGAAAAUUUGUCAACCCUGAUCAUAGAAACCGUUCCAAGUUCGAGUUUCAAAAUAUGCGAAGCAUUGAAAAUACAACGGAAUCAAAGUGAUCACAUGGAAGGAACCAUUCGUGUGGCAGUGCAAUUGAACGGAAAGAAUGAAGAAAUUCGAAAUAUAUUGGAAGAGUAUUUCGCCAUCUUUAAUACUGUCACUUGGAAACUUGAUAGAAAUCUAUCUGUUAGUGCUCAUCAAUACUUCGAUUUAUUAAAUAACUCUUCUCAACAACCGACAGCAAAAUCUUCAACGUCUUCAUCCACUUUUAAAUCACCUUUUCCUCCUAAAUUGGCUAAGAGUAAAAAGAAGACCUCGAAUUCGAAAAUAGAUGAAACGACCUCCAUUGUUGUGAUGAACAGUGAAGAUGAAAUUGGAAACUCAAAUGCCGCAGUAUCAAAUUGUGACGAUCGUCUCUUUAGUUAUCCACCUAUUCCCAUUUACGAAGUUGAACAUAUCUCAAUUCGUCAGUCGGAUCUCGCUUGUUUGGAGGAAGGGCAACAAAUAAAUGAUGCAAUCCUGGGUUUCUAUCUUAAGUAUAUUGAAAAAGACUUGACAUCCCCAGAUAUCGCCGAAAGAUGCUACAUUUUCAGUUCAUCUUUUUACUACAAGCUCACCCAUAAACCUCGAUCAUCGGAGGUUGGAACGCAGGGCAAAAAAUCGCUUUCUGAUAGAUACUACAAUAGAGUAAAGAAUUGGACAAAAAAUGUGAACAUUUUCGAAAAGGACUUUCUAAUUAUACCAAUUCAUAAAUCCUGUCAUUGGUUUCUGGCAAUCAUUUGUUAUCCAAGAAAAGUUCUCUCCUGGACGAAGUUGCAUUCAAUGAGAAAAGUGCUAAAAGGCCUCGUAUACUUUUCAUGGACUCGACGCAAAGUGCUCAUAGUAGAUGUGGAUUAGCUGCACCAUUACGACACUUUCUAGCUAAGGAAUGGGAGUCAAAGAAAACGACAAAGAAAAGUUUUAGUAGAAGUGUAAUGCCUGAUAUUUAUCUCAAGGUGCCUAAGCAAAACAAUGACUUCGACUCAGGUCUCUAUGUACUACAAUGCAUUGAGAAUUUCCUAAGAAAUCCUGAUCAUUUACUUGACAAAGUUUCCAAAGACCCGGCUAUUAAUCUAGAGGAUUGGUUCUCUCACAGACUGGUUUCGGCUAAACGACGAACUAUUGAAAGAUUGAUUAAACAACAGCGAAAAGCUGAAGAAAUCAAGAAAAAUAGUCUUUGCGAAACGGAUGAUGAAAUUUCUUCUUCUUCUUCUUCUUCUUCUUCUUCUUCUAGCUCUUAUUCUUCUGCUGAUUCCGAAAUUUGAAAGAAUCCACAAAGAUCCUGCUAUUAAUCUAUAAGAUUGGUUUUCUCUUUCUCUGGUCUCUUCUAAACGACGAACAAUCAAAAAUUUGAUCGAACGAAAGUGUAAAUAAUUAGACUAAGGUAUUAAAUGAUAAUCGACAUUUAAUUGUAAAUAAGACCAGAAAAUGAUAUACAUAAACAACUAUGCUGUGAAUUAAUCAUGAACCGAAAGGAUUUUCAAGAGAGAAGAAAAUCAAAUUUUCAAAAAUCCAUUUGUUGUUCUAUUAAAGUUGUUAUU